ensembl:lncRNA
GACUUUCUGUUCCAAAACACAAAAAAUAAUGAACCACCUAUUAUUUUCACAAGAGUAGUGACUCACAUAUAUAACAGUUUAUUGUUGCAAAAAAAGCAGUGAAAUGAAAACCAAAUAAAAAAUAUCCCUUUCACUUCCUUUUCUCAAAGUUGGAUCAAAGUUGAUUUCUGUGCUAACAGCACUUCAAACAACAACAACAACAAAAAAACUGUUUUCAAACAGGUUUCCCAAACUAUCCCAUCUACCAUUGGUUGACCGAACAGAUAGCUCCGCCCACAAUGUCAUGUCACUUGCUGAGUGAAUGUUGCUGCUUUUGAGCUAGUCAAACAAAAGUAAUUUGUUUUGGUAGUCUCACAGUGCCACAUUGUUUAUGCAUUGUUUACGAAUUUACAAAUGGCUUAGUUUUUGUUGAAUAUUACUCUAUGAUAGAAAAACACAUUUUUACAGCAAAAAAUUACACUUUUCAGCCUUAAAUUAUCAAUGAAUGUGGAUCCAGAUGAGCAGCAAAUGAACUCCGUUGAAGGCAGAUGCUCUUUGAGCUGCCAGACCUUUGUUGCUCGGUGGAAAACAAUGAAUAAUUCUUUACGCCACAUGUGGGUGUGAAAUGGAGAGAGAAAACGGCAAGAGUAUUAUGUGUUCGCCAGAUCAAACAGCCCUGCAAGCUCUUUAUGAUCACCCUGACUAACAAGAUGCCGGCACAAAGGCAGAAAAUCACAGGAAUGUUUGUUUGCACCCAGCCUUAGUUAGACAUCCUCAACCUCUCGCUAAGGUUACGCGCCUGUGUGUCUAUGUGUGUGCGCAAAUUUGUUUGGUUCCCUGUUCUUGGUAGUGCAACUGAAGAAAACAAUCAACUACGGGUGGCAAGGCACUGUCAAAAAAAUCUCCACGAUAAAGUUGUGGACAGGCAAAAAACAAACAAACAACAACAACAACAACAAAAUAACUCAAAGACUUUGUCAAUGCCUAGAAGCACAGUAUCAUUAUUAAGAGGUGGAAGAUUGUUGGUACAACACAGACCCUCCCUGGAUCAGGACAUCAUUUUAUUUUAUUUUAUUUUAUUUUAUUUUAUUUUUAUUUUUAUUUUUAUUAUUUUUAUUUUAUUUUUAUUUUUAUUUUUAUUUUUAUUUUAUUUUUAUUUUAUUUUUAUUAUUUUAUUUUAUUUUAUUUUAUUUUUAUUCUAUUUUAUUUUACGUGUUGGUGUUCUAUCUUUCACUUGGAAGUUAUAAGUUGCACUGAGUAAAUUCAGCUGGAUAAAACAAAAACUGUGUCCUGCUUUAUUUCAGGCUGCAGAGCAACAAAAUGUGAUUAUUGUGAAGGGGGUGAUUAUUUUCUUUUUCUUUUUCUUUUUUUUAAUUUUAUUGAUUACACAGUUUUCAUUGUGGACUAUUCUUUUAAGUCUCGCUGCAGCUUUAGCUUUAAAUACAAGCACUUUAACCACUGUCUUUGUCUGUCUCUCACAUGGUCUUGAUACCUAGACACUGAAGUCUCACUAAAAUAAUUUUCUUCCUUACUUUCCCACUUCCAUCCGCUGGGCACAUUCCCAGCCCACACUGGUGCCGGAGACUACCAACCACUGUAUUACAUGCACAACGGUGUUUACAUCCCUUUUCAACAAUUAACUUCAUGAAUGCUCCAUAACUGCGCUUUUAUGUCCAACUUUUUUGAUGACAGCCAAAUAAAGGAAGAGUUACAAAGAGUGGGCGUCCAUCAGUGAAGGGCUGUAAUCAAUCCAAAGAGCCCCCCGCCAUGAUAUGGUGGUCUUGCCGAACACAAAUGUAAUGUAGAAACAGAUCUAGACAGUAAGCUUUAUUAUUACAGAAAGUGCCAGGAGGUGCAGUCACUCAAUGAGAAAAUGAUGCAGUGUGUGUGUUUAGCGUGAUUGGGUUUAGAGAGAGAGGAAUCCAAUAAAGAAAAUGGAGAAGGCCUUGUGUAAAGUGUAGAGGGCGGGCUGCUCUGUAGUGUAUUCAUAUUAAAGACUGCAACGCUGGGAGGGGAAGUGAUUACUGUCAGUAACUCCACAGGAAAUGUUGCAUCUUACUGACAUUUAGAAAUCAUUUCAGCAGCUGGGAACAAUAAAAAAAGUGAGAUUGUGCAAUAAUUGGCUUGCCUCGCAGGCUUACAUAUGAAAAAAAAAAAAAAAAAAAAAGGAAAAGCAAAGAAAAAAAAAAGCAAUAAUAGAUGUUACCUCCAUUUUCCCGCACACCCCUCGCCGCUUUAAAGCUUUAUCACUUAUGAGACACAAAAGUAGUUUCAGUGUUUAACAAGCUUGGGUCAUGUGUAAAGAUAUGCUUUUAGGGCGGUGGUUCAGUGUUGUUGGGAAGAAUCAAUUUGGUUGAUAUUUUGGGGUUUACCGGGGGGUGGUGUUAAGAUGGGAAAAGUAUUGGUGGUACUGUAUAUCAAAGAAUGCUUUGUCUUGCUUUUGUUUUUGGUUGUUUUGAUUCAUGUUUCAUUUUGUGUUUGGCUGUGUUUUAGUUUGUGUGUGUGUGUGUGUGUGUGUGUGUGUGUGUGUGUGUGUGUUUUGUUCUAAAAUGAUGAAACUAAUGAAAUGUCAUAUUCUUGUCAUUUUUCUUCAGUUUUAACCUUAAAUAAUUUAAUAAAUCUUUUCUUAAUAUGCAGUAUUUUUAACCUGAUUGAGCAUUAUUUUAAAUAAAAUGACAGGAUAUGCUGAUUAAUUAAUGGUAUUUAUUCCUAUAUUUCUAUAUAUUCUAUAUUCUCUUUCAAAUUAAUUUAAUUUAAAAUGUUGCAUUAUUGCAAUUGUAAAAAACACUGAAUAAACAUUACUAAAUGGUAAAUAAACCAAAAUUGUUGUCCAUUUGCUUAUCACUGAGCAUAAGUCUAUC